GUCGUUGUAGUAUAGUGGUGAGUAUUUCCGCCUGUCACGCGGGUGACCCGGGUUCUAUCCCCGGCAACGGCG
rnacentral:tRNA from 1 species